AGUGAACGCUGGCGGUAGGCCUAACACAUGCAAGUCGAACGGCAGCACAGUAAGAGCUUGCUCUUACGGGUGGCGAGUGGCGGACGGGUGAGGAAUACAUCGGAAUCUACUUUUUCGUGGGGGAUAACGUAGGGAAACUUACGCUAAUACCGCAUACGACCUACGGGUGAAAGCAGGGGAUCUUCGGCCCUUGCGCGAUUGAAUGAGCCGAUGUCGGAUUAGCUAGUUGGCGGGGUAAAGGCCCACCAAGGCGACGAUCCGUAGCUGGUCUGAGAGUAUGAUCAGCCACACUGGAACUGAGACACGGUCCAGACUCCUACGGGAGGCAGCAGUGGGGAAUAUUGGACAAUGGGCGCAAGCCUGAUCCAGCCAUACCGCGUGGGUGAAGAAGGCCUUCGGGUUGUAAAGCCCUUUUGUUUGGAAAGAAAAGCAGCAGGUUAAUACCCCGCUGUUCUGACGUUACCCAAAGAAUAAGCACCGGCUAACUUCGUG
rnacentral:rRNA from 1 species